GGAGGAGUGGCAGAGCGGUCGAAUGCGGCGGUCUUGAAAACCGUUGAGGUGCAAGCCUCCGGGGGUUCGAAUCCCUCCUCCUCCGCCA
rnacentral:tRNA from 1 species